rnacentral:tRNA from 1 species
GGAAAUGUGGCUUAGUGGUAGAGUGCUUGCCUAGCAUGCACGAGGCCCUAGGUUCGAUUCCUCAGUACCA